AUUGAACGCUGGCGGCAUGCUUUACACAUGCAAGUCGAACGGCAGCGCGGGCUUCGGCCUGGCGGCGAGUGGCGAACGGGUGAGUAAUGCAUCGGAACGUGCCCAGUAGUGGGGGAUAGCCCGGCGAAAGCCGGAUUAAUACCGCAUACGACCUGAGGGUGAAAGCGGGGGGCCGAAAGGCCUCGCGCUAUUGGAGCGGCCGAUGUCGGAUUAGCUAGUUGGUGGGGUAAAGGCUUACCAAGGCGACGAUCCGUAGCUGGUCUGAGAGGACGACCAGCCACACUGGGACUGAGACACGGCCCAGACUCCUACGGGAGGCAGCAGUGGGGAAUUUUGGACAAUGGGGGCAACCCUGAUCCAGCCAUGCCGCGUGCGGGAAGAAGGCCUUCGGGUUGUAAACCGAUUUUGUUCGGGAAGAAAUCCUCUGGGCUAAUACCCCGGGGGGAUGACGGUACCGGAAGAAUAAGCACCGGCUAACUACGUG
rnacentral:rRNA from 1 species